rfam:Nomascus leucogenys chromosome 19, whole genome shotgun sequence.
UACGCUUCCAGCCUUUUGGCUAAGAUCAGGUGUAGUAUCUGAUCUUAUCAGUUGUAGAGGAUGUAUCAGAUAUCAAAAUGAUAAGAGGAGUAUCGGAUAUUAAACUGAUAAGAGAACAAUAUAUUAAAUGGAUUUUUGGAGCAGAGUGAUGGAAUAGGAGCUUCCUCCGUCCACUCCACGCAUCGACCUGGUAUUGCAGUACCUCCGGGAACGGUGCACCCCCU